GAUAUGAGGAGAGAUGGGAGGUAGUUAGAUACUGGAGAAUCAGGUUAAUGGGGAGAGAUGGGAGGUAGUUAGAUACUGGAGAAUCAGGUUAAUGGGGGGGUAGUUAGAUACUGGAGAAUCAGGGUAACGAGGGGAUAUGAGGAGAGAUGGGAGGUAGUUAGAUACUGGAGAAUCAGGUUAACGAGGGGAUAUGAGGAGAGAUGGGAGGUAGUUAGAUACUGGAGAAUCAGGUUAAUGGGGAGAGAUGGGAGGUAGUUAGAUACUGGAGAAUCAGGGUAACGAGGGGAUAUGAGGAGAGAUGGGAGGUAGUUAGAUACUGGAGAAUCAGGUUAAUGGGGAGAGACGGGAGGUAGUUAGAAGAUAUAAAAUGUGAAGAUUUUAACACUGAUGCCAAAGACACACUUUGAAACACCUUCACGACAGAAGCUCAAGCAGAUGGAAAAUGUGAGAUUUGACUCUGAAAGAAAUGAAUGUUUUGUCCUGAAUAGAAUGUUGCCAUUUAUAUGUCAGAGCAAAAGCUCAGCAGGAAAAUACUGUAUUACUAGAUUGGGAAUCAAAACUGUCCCCUGGGAUAUUUUGGCAGCACAACACAGUGUCAUCUGAAUGUUAAAUCGUGAUUUAUACUGUCUAUUUACAUUUAAUUCAGACAAGAGCUGAAAUAUUAGUAACAUGCUUGUCUCUAUGGUAAUAUACAGUAUAUUAUAAUAUUAGUAACAUAUCAUGCUUGUCUCUAUGGUAAUAUACAGUAU